rnacentral:rRNA from 1 species
UACGAAGGGGGCGAGCGUUGUUCGGAUUUACUGGGCGUAAAGGGCGCGCAGGCGGCUUUGUUUGUCAGGCGUGAAAGCCCCGGGCUUAACCUGGGAACUGCGUUUGAUACGGCAGGGCUAGAGUUCGGGAGAGGAGAGUGGAAUUCCCAGUGUAGAGGUGAAAUUCGUAGAUAUUGGGAAGAACACCGGUGGCGAAGGCGGCUCUCUGGACCGAUACUGACGCUGAGGAGCGAAAGCGUGGGGAGCGAACAGG